GCAUCAGUGAGAUUUAUCCUUACCUGUUGUUUUACAAAUAAAACUGCAGCACAUGAUGAUUGAAUUCCUUGAAUAUGAGAUUAUGUUCUGUAUUUAUAUAGGGCUCGCAACCCCUUUAAUGAAUCCUAUCUGAU